rnacentral:rRNA from 1 species
AGUGAACGCUGGCGGCGUGCCUAAUACAUGCAAGUCGAACGAAGUGGCGCACGGGUGAGUAAUAUAUAGUUAAUCUGCCCUACACAGAGGAACAACAGUUGGAAACGACUGCUAAUACCUCAUAGUGUAGGAUGAGACUAUAUCGUAUCAGCUAGUUGGUAAGGUAAUGGCUUACCAAGGCUAUGACGCGUAACUGGUCUGAGAGGAUGAUCAGUCACAUUGGAAGUGAGACACCGUUCGAACUCCGUCGGGAAGGAACAGUAAGGAAUCUUGCGCAAUGGGGGAAAGCCUGAAGGAGCAACGCCGCGUGGAGGAUGGCACUUUUCGGAGCGUAAACUCCUUUUAAAAUGAAAGCGGUAUCUAAUGAGUAAGCACCGGCUAACUCCGUGCCAGCAGCCGCGGUAAUAC